UGGAUGGCUCUGGAGACCGAAGUCCUGUUUUUAUCCACAAAAUAGAUUUAGCAUGAGAAACAAAAGUACAAGCUUCUCCAUGCUGCCCCACCAGUGUGUCUCAAUUUUCAUCUGGCGCAAUUACCUCUAUGGAGAACGAACAGUGGUAUUUAGUCUUAGAUGCAGUCCAAUCAAUCCUUGGCCUUU
rnacentral:sRNA from 1 species